GGGGUUGUGGCUCAGUGGUAGAGUGCUUGCCUAGCACACAUGAGGCAUUAGGUUCUAAACCUCAGCACGA
rnacentral:tRNA from 1 species